rnacentral:misc_RNA from 1 species
AUGCGAUAAGUAAUGUGAAUUGCAGAAUUCCGUGAAUCAUCGAAUCUUUGAACGCACAUUGCGCCCCUUGGUAUUCCAUGGGGCAUGCCUGUUCGAGCGUCAUUUGUACCCUCAAGCUCUGCUUGGUGUUGGGUGUUUGUCCCGUCUCCGCGCGUGGACUCGCCCCAAAGUGAUUGGCAGCCGGCGUACUGGUCCCGGAGCGCAGCACAUGUCGCGCAAACGAGUGCCUUGGUACGGCGGCGUCCAUAAGCCCCUCUCUCACGCUCUUGACCUCGGAUCAGGUAGGGAUACCCGCUGAACUUAAGC